CGUUCGUCGAUCGUCCCMCUUGACUCCUCGUUUCCUCGUCGUUCGACGGGUGGUGCGCGGGCAUGGGUCGAUCUUGAUGCCGGAAUGACCGUUCCAGCACAUGAGCUGUGAUGGGUCUGCGUGCGUCGACGGGCUCCCUUCCAUCGUGCAGCCGGCCGCCGUCGCCUCSUCCCUUCCAUUGUCCCUCUCGAGCCGCUGCGGCUGCUUGCCUCACGAGUUGCCUGCGCGAUCUACCGGAUUCGUCGUACGGAAAAGUGAGAUCUCUACCCACAAGCACCCCCGCUCACUCUCUGCCCCCGCGCGGCAGUUGGAGCGGCUACGCAACCGUUUCCCCGAUGCUCGCUCGGAUGACGGCGCGCCUUCGGGCCGUCGCCCUUCAUCAUCGUGCCUUCGGUGGUUUCGGUGAGCGCUCUCGGACCCGGCAAAUAAGUCUCCCGGCUGGGGGGGCUCCCCUGCUGGGAACUCUCUUUAUCGGUUGGUCGCCCUCGGUUUGGACGACGCUCGGCUCCUCGUCGCGCCCCCCGCCACCGUCCCCCGCCUCGGCGUCGGACGGGCGGGGGGGGCGCGGCGCGUCGCGGACGAUG
rnacentral:misc_RNA from 1 species